AUGCUGGAACAGAACCCAGGAAAAGAAUAAAAUAUGAGCAAUGAGAUGAAUUUGUCUGAUAAAACAACAUCUGGAGCAAAGAGAUCUUCAGCUUUUACUAUGGAAGUUCCUGUUCAGUCGUUUUGCCACUGAUCAAGUUUGAGUCAUUUUAUAUUUACUAUCUGCCAAUGCCAAUUUCUCAGAAAAUACAAACUAAGUAUCAGAGAUCAGUUGUAUUUCCUGGUUGUUCCACCAGGUGGAGCUUCUUCCUGUUUAAUCCUGUAGAGACCAGAGGAGGCGUCACUCAGACUACAGUUAAAGCAGAGAGCAUUGUGGGAGUUCAGCUAGUGAAGGGGCGCCAUGACAAAGGGCCUUUUCCAAACCGCCCCCUACACACUCCCCCUCCACUACCGAGUGUCACUCCAAAAGAAGUCACACUCGCAGCUGUGGGGGGCACUUCAAUUGAAGGGGAAAUACGAUCGUCAGGAAUGGGACGCCCUGUUGCCUCACCGGAAAACGGAAGACGUCAUCGCCAUGGUAACACAAAGAUGCCUACUGUCAUGGCUGUAGCGCUGUGGCACAGGUUGCAACUAACAAGGAUCGCUGCUGCUUCCAGAAGACGAAAGCGUCUUCGUUUGUUAGCACUGCUGCAUCAGCAAGAGGAAGGCACCAUGCUAUAUGUACGGCUUAAUCCAGCUGUGCCUCUCCUGCAGCUGUACAGCAAUCCAGAAGCCUGCCUGAAGAGAGAUUUCAGACUCACCCGACAGUCUGUUGCCCUUCAGCAGGCAAUGAUGUAGGGGCUACAUUCUGCUUCAAAUAAUUUGAAGUCAUCCCACAUGUUUUCCAAUCCUAUUAUCUGGCAUUUCAAAUCCAACAAAUGAAUAAAUAAAUGAAUUCUGUCAGUUGUGUUCAAAUUUUAAGGUGUCAGGGGGUGCACAAUUAAAUCAAACGUCAGCAGAGAAGAAGAUUUGUUUCUUUUGUUUUAUCUUUUUUCACCACUGUUUUUGUGAUGUUCUGUCAGUGUGAAAAAGACGUGGGAGAAAUAAAGGACGCAUGUGGAACUUA